AGGGAGCGACGAGGUUUGCAGGAGCACGGGCCAUCUGAAGAGCCUGGGCACAUAUGAAAGUCAAAUUCUUCAUGUGGCUUGCGGUUCGUCAGCGUGGACAAUAGGCAGAAGGCACAGACGGGCUUUGCGAGACCUGACCAGUGUCACCAAGUUCUUGUACGAUUGGAUCGUGGAACGGGUAGGCGGGUACAAAACGGGUAUACCCCUUCGGAACGAUGAAUCGAGACUUUGGAAUGUGAACCAAUUACUUUCUGUAGGAUAGCUUGGUACGAUAUGCUAUCGAACUUUCACAUAGGUAAAAAAAAUUAGAAAAGAAGGAUAAAAGAAAUAAAUAUACUAUUGGGUUGUCAUUUACAUGCUCUCUUAGUAGUUCCAGCAGCACCAAUCCAAAGUUGUAGACAUCAACCUUUGCUGUAAUUGGGAGACUAGAAACCCAUUCAGGCGCUAAAUAACCUCUAGUUCCUCAAAAUAAAUCAUCCUAAUGCAACAAACAUUAGCUCGGACAAGAUUAUUGCUUAUAAAAAUCCGUAGAAGUACAAGGUGAUACAAUCAGAUAUCUGUAAAGCACACUAGAGCAGAUUUUACGGUGCUAUAGCACACAUACUUACAACACAAUAUAGCAUGGAUACUGCAUAUUUGAUAGAACUACCAUUUUCUAUCAAUGUAUUGUUUGCAUGGCCCUUAGUACAAAGAACCAUUUGGACGCAGGCUUUUAAUAAGCAACUCCUCCCAUUUUAGUUGCACUGCUGACAGCGUCAACUGAAACAAGCGUCUGCACCACAUUUUCCAUAGUUGGUCUUCUGCCUCUAUCUUCCUCCAGACAUGAAACAGCUAGCUUAAUCAUUGUUCUUGCUUGCAAGUAGUUGAAGUCGCCAUUCAGUCUACUGUCAAUAAAGUUGGGGAUCCAAAAUUGUUCAGUGCCAUCCAACUGCAAAUUCUCUUUAAGCAUCCUGACUAUCCUUCCAAGGACCAUCUCCACCUCCUCAUUCUCAUUAUUUUCCAUGUCCGAAAUUCGGGCUCCCUUUAGUAGUUCCAGUAGCACCACUCCAAAGCU
rnacentral:lncRNA from 1 species